GAGCUGAGGUGCAUUCAAGGACAGCACGAGAAUGUGCUACAAAUCUGACCGCCGAUGCCUCUGGCAUCACGAGCUCAGUUGUGCUGAUUACAGCAGGCGACUCAGCUUUUUAACAACAAAACCAAUCAGCCUGGUGUCAUAAUCUGACAGGACGCCUCACGUUCCCGCCUGAUCUCAACGCCGAGGCUGUAAACGGACGUGACAGACUGCAGGGAACAGUUUCACAUGGACUCUCCACAUAAAGAGCUUCUGGCAGAUUGAGUGCUCUCGCUGUAAUGAAGUCACCUUCGGAAAAAGUCGGGUUCACAUGAAUGUGUGGACAGAAUGACUGAGAGGAAACCACAGCUCACCCGCCAAACGUGAAGGUCAACACAAAUACACUUUCACGACCAG